rnacentral:tRNA from 1 species
GGAAGGGUUGUGGCUCGGUGGUAGAGCAUUUGCUUUGUAUACAGAAGGUCCCAGGUCCAAACCCUGGAAUCUCCA